AGUGAACGCUGGCGGCAGGCCUAACACAUGCAAGUCGAACGAACCCUUCGGGGUUAGUGGCGGACGGGUGAGUAACACGUGGGAACGUGCCUUUAGGUUCGGAAUAACUCAGGGAAACUCGUGCUAAUACCGAAUGUGCCCUUCGGGGGAAAGAUUUAUCGCCUUUAGAGCGGCCCGCGUCUGAUUAGCUAGUUGGUGAGGUAAUGGCUGACCACGGCUACGAUCAGUAGCUGGUCUGAGAGGAUGACCAGCCACAUUGGGACUGAGACACGGCCCAAACUCCUACGGGAGGCAGCAGUGGGGAAUCUUGCGCAAUGGGCGAAAGCCUGACGCAGCCAUGCCGCGUGGAUGAUGAAGGUCUUAGGAUUGUAAAAUCCUUUCACCGGUGAAGAUAAUGACUGUAGCCGGAGAAGAAGCCCCGGCUAACUUCGUGCCAGCCGCCGCAGUAAUAC
rnacentral:rRNA from 1 species